rnacentral:rRNA from 1 species
AUUGAACGCUGGCGGCAGGCCUAACACAUGCAAGUCGAUCGAGCGGCGGACGGGUGAGUAAUGUAUGGGGACUGCCCGAUAGCGGGGGAUAACUACUGGAAACGGUGGCUAAUACCGCAUACUAUCGGAUAACCCAUAUGGGAUUAGCUAGUAGGUGGGGUAAAGGCUCACCUAGGCGACGAUCUCUAGCUGGUCUGAGAGGAGGAUCGGCCAACCUGUGACGGGGACACGGCCCAGAAUCCUACGGAGGCGGCAGUGGGGAAUUUUGCACAAUGGGCGCAACCCUGAUUCAGCCAUCCCGCGUGUAUGACGAAGGCCUUAGGGUUGGCAAGGACUUUUGGCGGUGAGGCGGUAACAGCAGAACAAGCCCCGGCUAACUUCGUGCAAGCAGCCGCGGUAAUAC